rnacentral:rRNA from 1 species
UAAGGAAUAUUGGUCAAUGGAGGCAACUCUGAACCAGCCAUGCCGCGUGCAGGAAGAAGGCCCUAUGGGUCGUAAACUGCUUUUGAACAAGAGAAAACCCCGGUACGUGUACUGGGUUGAUAGUAUUGUUAGAAUAAGCAUCGGCUAACUUCGUGCCAGCAGCCGCGGUAAGACGAAGGAUGCAAGCGUUAUCCGGAUUCAUUGGGUUUAAAGGGUGCGUAGGCGGACUGAUAAGUCAGUGGUGAAAUCUCUCGGCUUAACCGAGAAACUGCCAUUGAUACUGUUAGUCUAGAGUACAGAUGAUGUGGGCGGAAUAUGACAUGUAGUGGUGAAAUACUUAGAUAUGUCAUAGAACACCGAUUGCGAAGGCAGCUCACAAAACUGUAACUGACGCUGAGGCACGAAAGUGCGGGGAUCAAACAGGAUUAGAUACCCUAGUAGUCCCUGAGCGGGCUGGCAAGGCGCAU